rnacentral:rRNA from 1 species
AUGCCAAAAAUUGCUCCUUAUGGGCAGCUCUCAUAUGCAUUGCUGGGUUGUUCACAAUCAAUAAAGCUUUGGUUGUACUUAGUUCUAGUAUAUGGGUCCUAUUUCGAGGAUGGGUUUGGUUAUAUACAUCGGGGAUGUUCUGUAAGUGAAUUACUUGCACUGACAAAGAAACUCAUAUCAAUUAGUGCCCGACAUACCUGCAUGCACCUGAUCCUUCCGCCAUUGCUGACGCUGCCGAGGCUGGCGCUGGAGCGGCGGCUGACGGGGAGACCGGCUGUGGACUUGAGCCCCUGGAAGGGUGCAACGGUGGUAGCCGACGAAGCCAUCACGGCGGGGGCCAUGGUAUUCUAUUAA